GAUGAACGCUGGCGGCGUGCCUAAUACAUGCAAGUCGAGCGAACGGACGAGAAGCUUGCUUCUCUGAUGUUAGCGGCGGACGGGUGAGUAACACGUGGAUAACCUACCUAUAAGACUGGGACAACUUCGGGAAACCGGAGCUAAUACCGGAUAAUAUUUUGAACCGCAUGGUUCAAAAGUGAAAGACGGUCUUGCUGUCACUUAUAGAUGGAUCCGCGCUGCAUUAGCUAGUUGGUAAGGUAACGGCUUACCAAGGCAACGAUGCAUGGCCGACCUGAGAGGGUGAUCGGCCACACUGGAACUGAGACACGGUCCAGACUCCUACGGGAGGCAGCAGUAGGGAAUCUUCCGCAAUGGGCGAAAGCCUGACGGAGCAACGCCGCGUGAGUGAUGAAGGUCUUCGGAUCGUAAAACUCUGUUAUUAGGGAAGAACAUAUGUGUAAGUAACUGUGCACAUCUUGACGGUACCUAAUCAGAAAGCCACGGCUAACUACGUG
rnacentral:rRNA from 1 species